UGGGGAAUAUUGCACAAUGGAGGGAACUCUGAUGCAGCGACGCCGCGUGAACGAAGAAGGCUUUCGAGUCGUAAAGUUCUUUUAUAUGGGAAGAUAAUGACGGUACCAUAAGAAAAAGCUCCGGCUAACUACGUGCCAGCAGCCGCGGUAAUACGUAGGUGGCAAGCGUUGUCCGGAAUCAUUGGGCGUAAAGGGUACGUAGGCGGGUAAGCAAGUUAGAAGUGAAAUCCUAUAGCUCAACUAUAGUAAGCUUUUAAAACUGCUCAUCUUUAGGUAUGGAAGUGAAAGUGUAAUUCCUAGUGUAGCGGUGAAAUGCGCAGAUAUUAGGAGGAAUACCGGUGGCGAAGGCGACUUUCUGGCCAUAACCUGACGCUGAGGUACGAAAGCGUGGGGAGCGAACAGG
rnacentral:rRNA from 1 species